rnacentral:lncRNA from 1 species
GGAGGUUGGUAAUGAAGUGGUUGCUCAACCUAUGGAAGAAGAAUUGCAUCCUAUAGUACAAGAGGUUGGUAACGAAGUGGUUGCUCAACCUAUUCUAGAAUCGCAUCCUAUAGUAGCUAGAAAAUGCAGAGUUGCUCUGUUGUUGGUAGAUGCAAUGUUGAAUCUAGGCAACGUCGUUCCAGCGAAUAUUUUGACACUAUAAGUCAAUUUGUACCUUAAAUCCCCAAAUGUUUAUCAAAAUAUUUUCAUAAUUUAUAACAUAAUGUUUUAGUUAAUUUUAAUUUAUAUAUGGAAGUAUUACAUUCACAAGACACUAAAAAUAAAAUGUCAAUCUUUGACUAAGGUGGAAAAUUUCAACCGCCAUGGAAUUUUACCCAAAAAUGCAUCCAAAGAUACCAGAAAACGAUUUAAAGACUCAAGAAAGGUUGGUCAUGGUCAACAAUAGUGUCAUAAGGUAAGUCAAGACAAAGGGUUCAACAAGUUGUCGUCUAUGCUCCAAAAAGAUUUUAAAUCACUUCAAUAAAGACGUUAUUUAGCUGUAUUUGUACUUGUUGCAUUGUACUUUUUAUGUC